rnacentral:rRNA from 1 species
ACCUCGGAUCAGGUAGGGAUACCCGCUGAACUUAAGCAUAUCAAUAAGCGGAGGAAAAGAAACCAACAGGGAUUACCUCAGUAACGGCGAGUGAAGCGGUAACAGCUCAAAUUUGAAAGCUGGCUCUUUUAGGGUCCGCGUUGUAAUUUGUAGAAGAUGCUUCGGGUGUGGCCCCGGUCUAAGUUCCUUGGAACAGGACGUCAUAGAGGGUGAGAAUCCCGUAUGUGACUGGGUGCUUUCGCCCAUGUGAAGCUCUUUCGACGAGUCGAGUUGUUUGGGAAUGCAGCUCAAAAUGGGUGGUAAAUUUCAUCUAAAGCUAAAUAUUGGCCAGAGACCGAUAGCGCACAAGUAGAGUGAUCGAAAGAUGAAAAGCACUUUGGAAAGAGAGUUAAACAGUACGUGAAAUUGUUGAAAGGGAAGCGCUUGCAACCAGACUUGCGCGCUGAUGAUCAUCCGGGCUUCUGCCCGGUGCACUCGUCUGCGCUCAGGCCAGCAUCGGUUUCGGUGGUGGGAUAAAGGCCUUGGGAAUGUGGCUCCUCUCGGGGAGUGUUAUAG